rnacentral:rRNA from 1 species
CAGCCGCCACGGUAAUACGUAGGGUGCGAGCGUUAAUCGGAAUUACUGGGCGUAAAGCGUGCGCAGGCGGUUGUGUAAGACAGGUGUGAAAUCCCCGGGCUUAACCUGGGAACUGCGCUUGUGACUGCACAGCUAGAGUAUGGCAGAGGGGGGUGGAAUUCCACGUGUAGCAGUGAAAUGCGUAGAGAUGUGGAGGAACACCGAUGGCGAAGGCAGCCCCCUGGGCCAAUACUGACGCUCAUGCACGAAAGCGUGGGGAGCAAACAGGAUUAGAUACCCCCGUAGUCCCUGUCUCUUAUAA